CACGUAGGGCGCAAGCGUUGUCCGGAAUUAUUGGGCGUAAAGAGCUCGUAGGUGGUUUGUUACGUCUGCUGUGAAAACCUAGGGCUUAACCCUGGGCCUGCAGUGGGUACGGGCAGACUAGAGUGCGGUAGGGGAGAUUGGAAUUCCUGAUGUAGCGGUGGAAUGCGCAGAUAUCAGGAGGAACACCAAUGGCGAAGGCAGAUCUCUGGGCCGUAACUGACGCUGAGGAGCGAAAGCAUGGGGAGCGAACAGG
rnacentral:rRNA from 1 species